rnacentral:piRNA from 1 species
UAGGAGCUUAUCAGAGUCACUCUCC